rnacentral:rRNA from 1 species
CGGAAACGACUGCUAAUACCGAAUAAGUUCCAAGAGCCGCAUGGCCCAUGGAAGAAAAGGUGGCCUCUACCUGUAAGCUAUCGCCUGAAGAGGGGUUUGCGUCUGAUUAGCUGGUUGGAGGGGUAACGGCCCACCAAGGCGACGAUCAGUAGCCGGUCUGAGAGGAUGAACGGCCACACUGGAACUGAGACACGGUCCAGACUCCUACGGGAGGCAGCAUG